UAUCUGCACUUUCCUGAAGAACCAGUGCCCAAUUAUACAGUGCAUCAUAAUCUUCUUGAUUUCGCUCCAGUGCAGUAGCAUACCUCCGGGCAGCAUAUGUUAGAAUUCGUUGGCGAGAUCGGCCCUCCUCGUCAGCACCUGUGACACUGUUAAUCAAAUCCAAGGCAGCAUUACUUUCUGUGUGCUGUUGACUGCUCUGUUGACUGUGAGGUGUGUCGCUUUCUCUUCUUUCAGCUUCAGAAUCUUCAUUGGCAUCUCCAUUCUUCAAUUCAUCCAACAACUCUCUCAUUGUAAAUGUUCGGCUACCUUCAUCCUUUUUUAGCUGCUUCGAGUUACUUCCCGUUUCAUUAGAUUCAACAGUAUCACCCUUCGGCUCAUCCACCUUGGGAUCUGAAUCAUCUGAGUUGUUCGAUCGGAUCAACUCCGAUGCCUCUGCAUUGUUCAAUUGUACAUCUCCAGACUCGCUAGAAGUAUCUCCCUCAUUUGCCUUGGGAUCUGCAUCACUAGCCUCGUUGGAUUUCGUCAAUUUGUCGUCAGGUUUUGAAGCGUCUGCAUCGUUUGACUGUACAUCUCCGGAUUGGGUAGCAAAUUCCUUGGAUUCCUCGUGUUUCGGAUCUCCAGCACCGUCUGCUGGUGCUUCACCCGACAGGAUCGCGGUGUCUCCUGGGUCAGUCACGGUGGCCGGAGCUUCUACUUCUUUUUGCAAUUCCGUUUGGUCGACGAUUGAGGACAUGGUGAUAAACAGCGGAGGAGUUAACAAUGGCGAAAAUCUGUUUUAA
rnacentral:misc_RNA from 1 species